GGCAUUCCUCCAGCUCAUCACUUUAGCCAAUCCCAUCACAUUUACUACUCUAUGUAACAACAGCUGGUUCCCAUGUCUAAUCAUUCUGUAACAAAGCAUUUCAUCCACCUGCAGCUUCUUCCUAGUCCUUUAUCUCUUUCAUACUUUAUGCUCCUGAUUUUUGGCGUAAACCGCCGGAACGGCACAGUUUGUAAGGGCUCUCCUUGACACAGGCAGCUUAGUGUGCCACUUGCAAC